rnacentral:pre_miRNA from 1 species
UAUUAAAAAUUUCAUCCAUUUGUAUUAUUAAAAAUUGGCCUGGCUAAUCGAAUAAGCAAACAGUGACAUGUGUUCUGCUACGUGUAUAUCAUGCUAAUGUAUAGAGACUAGUUUUUAAUAGUAGAAAAGGAUGAAAUUUUAGAGA